rnacentral:rRNA from 1 species
UACGUAGGUGGCAAGCGUUGUCCGGAUUUACUGGGCGUAAAGAGCGCGCAGGCGGUCGUUCAAGUCGCGUGUGAAAGCCCCCGGCUCAACUGGGGAGGGUCACGCGAUACUGAUCGACUGGAAGGCAGGAGAGGGUAGUGGAAUUCCCGGUGUAGUGGUGAAAUGCGUAGAUAUCGGGAGGAACACCGGUGGCGAAGGCGGCUGCCUGGACCGGCACUGACGCUGAGGCGCGACAGCGUGGGGAGCAAACAGG